UUCUUCAUGUCAUUGUCAACUAGGAAUGGAACAUGCACAUGCUACUGUUACCGUUGACACAAGUGCUUGGUUCUAUGCCUUUACUCGUUGAACUAGUCUAGUCCUUCAAUCUCUCUGAAGAAUCAUCCUCUUGAUGGCUCAUGUGAUGAAGAUCAAGAUAUGUUUGUUUUCAUGUUAAAAGGAAGCAUGUGAAGAACAUUGGACAUAUAGUAUAACAGGGUUGCAACAGAGAGCCUAACAGAUAAGUUAUUUGGGACUUUUACCUUCAUUACGGAUAAGAUCUUAUUGUUACAAAACAGAACAAAUUCACAUGUUGUUUCCUUUCCAAGUCAUCCAAAACACAACAAAACAGCAGGGACGCUCACUUCACUUCACUGUGGUUUCUUAUACUAUGAUGGAAAACCAACAAUCUCAACGUAAAUGCAAUAGGUAAUUCUUUCCAGAGGUUUUCACACUUGUCUCUAGUCCUGCCUCACUUACCUAUGAUUACAAAAGUGGAUAUCUCUUUGCAUCUGUGAUCUCCGCUCGAGUUGGAAGACCAUUGACAAGUGAUUUAAAUAACCUGAGUCGCCAAAAUCACCUGUACACUAGCAACUUUGCAAACAGCUAUAAUCUCUUGUAUAUUAUCUAGUCUCUCCCAUCCACGUUCAACUGCAAGAUCACCUCUAACUAUCAUAACUCCUAAAGUAUUUGAACACUUCAUCUCCAAAGAAGAGGUUCAUGAAGACAAAGCAUAUCUCAAUUAGAUACUCUCUAAUGUCAGGAAGUCGAAAAAUAUACAAACCAGACGGAUACACGCGCCCAUUCCAAGAUUAGGCGCUGAGGCAUCAGCAUCUGAAGUCAAUAUUCCACACUCCAAAGCAAUAGCCCUGGCAGUUUGGACGUUGUCACCAGUAACCAUACGACUUGAACAUCAACAAACAUCAUGCAGCGUUAUUAGCAGGCUAUGAAAGAGAAUUUGUGCAAUGGGCCUUUUUGGUAAAAUCGAACAAAAGAAGCACCUUGACACCAGCAUUCUGAGUCCACAUUUGAAAAUAAUUUGAUAAGAAACACUAGAAAAAUACUGCAGCCCAUGAUAUGUGGGUUAUUGUUCUGAAACUAAACAAAUACGAUGUAUAUAUUUGACUAAUGUUAAGAUAAAAGUAAAAAUGAAAAUAAAUAAACAAAACUAAUCCUCA